rnacentral:rRNA from 1 species
UACGUAGGGACCAAGCGUUGUUCGGAUUUACUGGGCGUAAAGGGCGCGUAGGCGUCGCGGUAAGUCACUUGUGAAAUCUCUGAGCUUAACUCAGAACGGCCAAGUGAUACUGCAGUGCUAGAGUGUGGAAGGGGCAAUCGAAAUUCUUGGUGUAGCGGUGAAAUGCGUAGAUAUCAAGAGGAACACCUGAGGUGAAGACGGGUUGCUGGGCCAACACUGACGCUGAGGCGCGAAAGCCAGGGGAGCAAACGGG